rnacentral:rRNA from 1 species
ACGGAGGGUCCAAGCGUUAAUCGGAAUUACUGGGCGUAAAGCGCGCGUAGGCGGCUUGUUAAGCCAGAUGUGAAAGCCCUGGGCUCAACCUAGGAAUUGCAUUUGGAACUGGCUCGCUAGAGUACAGAAGAGGGUGGUGGAAUUUCCUGUGUAGCGGUGAAAUGCGUAGAUAUAGGAAGGAACAUCAGUGGCGAAGGCGGCCACCUGGUCUGAUACUGACGCUGAGGUGCGAAAGCGUGGGGAGCAAACAGG